GAGAGGAGUCUUUUUAUUUUUUUUUAGAGGGGGUGGUGGGGUGGGGAGGUGCUGUGGGUUAGGCUGAGCACUAGGAAAUAAAGAGAUCGAUAAAUUGAGGGACUACUUUUUUGAACCCCACAGGAAGCUGCAGUUGUCCUGCCCCCCAUGCCCCUCCCCACAGUGCCACUUGCAGGGGGAGCCUGGGCCUCCUUUGCCAACCUUCUCCAUGCAGGUUGGGCAAGCCCUGGAACAGCCACACCACCAAGGAAAGGUGGGAUUCGCAGUGGGCACGAGCCUCUACUCUCUCAGUCGGACGUGGGGAGGCGUCUCAGAAGCGCGGCCUCCAGGUCCUGCCAUGGCAGCCAUCGCCCUCUUUCAGAUGUGCCACCAGGUUGUAUGGACAACAGGUUUCGGGGUAGCUGAGCACUGAAACCUCUCUGGGGUUGCUCUGGGUCAAAUACCCCAGGCGCCAUUUGUACAGCUUGGGAAUUCUCCCAAAUUAUUUGCGGAAAUAAGAUUUGAGGUCAUAGAGGCCCACAUCCAAAUUAUAAUAGUGGAAUCAGAAAAACAGCCAUAAAGCUACCUGUUGCUCUAGAAGUCCAAGGGGACUGAGAAGGCCAGAGCAUUUUAAAAGUAAAUUUAAACAGCUCCUCGUAAGAUCUUCCUGGAAUAAAACUCAACUACCAUAAGAGCUUCUCUGUGGUGUUUACAGGCCCUUUGCACUCCCCUUCUGUGUGGUGCAAUUCCUCAAGUGAAACUUCUUGACGGGGAAGAGAAAUGACUCAUCCCUGCUCUCUAAGAGUGGCACAUCUGUGAUGACAGAACUUGGAAAGCCCACAACAGGUCUGUCCCAAGGGGGAUGAGAAACAAAGGAUGGAAACCCCUUUUCUGCAGUCAGAAGCACAAUGGGAAAAGUCUGCCACAGGAGCAAGGAGACAGCCCCAUAAUGGGGCAAAACUUACCCUCAACAGGCACAGCAUCCAGGAAUACACUGCAGGCAAGCAAACUGCCCUCAUGGUUCAUCAGCUGCUUUUCAAUGCAGCUGGGGCUGGCGCACAGUGGUGACAUCACAGAAGAAUGCUGGCCAGCUGAGAUAAAAGCUGGCAGCGGGAAAAACACAGUGGGAGCUAUAGCAGAGCGGCUGAUGAGUGCUCCCUCUGGCACAGCUAGAGACCGUGCAUGGUGCGACUCAGAAAGGGGUCCCAAGGAGGAGCAGACCCCAGGGGGGGACCACAGGAUAGCAAAUCUACCCACAGGAUGGAAGAGCAUUGGAUACAAGCUGCUGUAAUUAAAAUCACAGAGCAGGGUUAUGUCCAUGGGCCUGGUGAUUGAAGCUCACAGAUUGAUUAAUAUCCAGUCGAACUCCAUUGGCUGGCACAUAGAAGGGGUGUAGGGGAGGUGGAGCCCCAGUAACAUCUGCUGGCGACAUCUUCUAAGAAUUUGACACCAAAGGAGCCUCCCGUCUUUGAAUCUAACAGCAAGUUGUGAUGGGAGAGUUUCAGGGGUGUCCCUGGGGAGCUGGCACUAGCAGCGGCAGUGUCCAAGGGAAUUCUGAAGUGGGGCAGACAAAACCAGUUCUGAGCUGCUCAAGAGAGAGACUGCUCAAAACCUGGUGGGUACAAAGUCAAAAUGUUUUUGAUUCUGUGGAUUUGUAUUUGAAAUCUCUGGGUUUUCCUUAUGAAUCAUGCGUAGGUGUUUGCAAACCUAACAAUGCUAAUAUUGUUUGGUGCCCCAUGGAACCUGUAAUAGUGUCUCAUGGCAUCUCAUUGAGAAUCACAGUCCUAAGCAAUUGUUUAUAAAAAUUGUAGUGUGCUUUUAGAGAAUGGGAAUGGGCCUGUCUGAAUCAAUUUUCCUCUGGCUUUAGUUCUUUUCGUAUCUUUUUCAUAGACAGUGCUUCCGUAGGAAGACAAACAAGAAAGCACUGUGAGAACCAACUGAUGUAACAAAAUAUUUUCAACAUUUUAUUUAGGAUUUCUGGGGGACCAUAGAAUGCAACCCCUUUCUAUCUAUAGCUGUAUUGGAGUAGCCAUUCCAAAUCCCAAGUGAUAGCAUUUUAUGAAAUUAAGAAACAACGAGUAGGUUUACUGCUUUACAGAUGUCUUUAUAGAGGAGGUAGGACCUCCUGAGUCUGAUGGUGUUGAAUGUUUACCUUAAAGAUUUUUUAUAAGGCUGCUUGUGUGCAAAAGUAAAGCUGUCUCCUGGAAUAGCCAGUCUAGAUUUAAAAAUUUCCUAUGGGUAAAUCCACUGUAACUUGUGUUAAGUUGCUCCUAUAGUUAAUUGCUUUCACUGUUAAUAAAGUUGUACCUUAAUUCUA